rnacentral:rRNA from 1 species
AACGAACGCUGGCGGCAUGCCUAACACAUGCAAGUCGAACGACACCUUCGUGUCUACUGGCGCACGCGUGCGUCGCGCGUGGGAACCUGCCCUUAGGUUCGGAAUAACACCCCUACAGGGGUGCUAAUACCGGGUAAUUUCUUCGAACCCAAGAUUUAUCGCCCUUGGGUGAGCCGGCGUUGUAUUGGCCUGUUGGUAUGGUAAAAGCCUACCAAGGCGUCGCUACAUAGCUGGGAUGAGAGGAUGAGCAGCCACACUGGGACUGAGACACGGCCCAGACUCUUACGGGAAGCAGCAGUGGGGAAUACUGGAAUAUGGGCGAGAGCCUGAUCCAGCAAUGCCGCGUGAGUGAUGAAGGUGUGAGGGUUGUAAAGCUCUUUUACCCGGGAUGAUAAUGACAGUACCGGGAGAAUAAGCUCCGGCUAACUUCGUG